CAGUCGCCACGGUAAUACGUAGGGUGCAAGCGUUAAUCGGAAUUACUGGGCGUAAAGCGUGCGCAGGCGGUUCGUUAAGACAGAUGUGAAAUCCCCGGGCUUAACCUGGGAACUGCAUUUGUGACUGGCGGGCUAGAGUAUGGCAGAGGGGGGUAGAAUUCCACGUGUAGCAGUGAAAUGCGUAGAGAUGUGGAGGAAUACCGAUGGCGAAGGCAGCCCCCUGGGCCAAUACUGACGCUCAUGCACGAAAGCGUGGGGAGCAAACAGGAUUAGAUACCCGCGUAGUCCCUGUCUCUUAUAC
rnacentral:rRNA from 1 species